UAGAAUGUGUGUCAUAAAAAAUGUCCAGUCAUGAUGAAACUGCUUGUUAUGAACGCUCAAAUAAUAAAUGCGCAGAUAUUUCAGCUGGUUCUGCCGGCUGAGGUCAAGCCCGACAGCUCGACGGCACAGCGGUCGCAGACCACGGGGCACCUGCUGCUCCACAUGCCCCGGGCUCAAGGUGAAAUCAAGGUGACAAAAGCUGCCAUACAUCCAUCGAAAGAUGACCGCCGCCGCCGCGGCAGCUCGCCCGACAGCAAGAAAAGGGGUCGGUCACUGAUGACAACAGUGAGAGUUCUCUGUAUAUAAAACACACGCUGGUUUCUGGCUCAUCACCAUCUCAGCGCCGUCAUCAGCAUUUUACAAGCAGGGUGGCGUGUCGUCCUUCAAGCCCCCCCGCUGCCCUGGUGACCAACGUCUUUAAUCAAACGUUUGAUCAAAAAAAGCUGACAGCUGAUUUAUUCUCCAUGGACGCCAUUAGGACGACCUCCGCGGUGUCAUUGGUUUUUGAUCUGCUCACUGAUGACAUCAUGAUUGCAUCACGAUCGGCAGCUAUUGGUAGGGGAAGUUCAAAGUUCAGGGUGACAUGAAAAUUCUGACCUUAACGGUUUGGUAGGGUCCACAAGUGCAAGAGGUCCCUUUCUUCAUUUUUCAGCCAGAUUGAGAUGAGAUGCUUCACUAUUUUGGUCACUUCAGCGACAGCGACGAUUAACUCUUGAUAUAUUCCUA